rnacentral:rRNA from 1 species
AGUAUACCACACUGAAGGUAUGUAUCCCAUUUGAUUUUGGAAGCUAAGCCAGGGUAGGGCUAAUUAGUACUUGAAUGGGAGAUCGCCAGCAAAUACCCGAUAAUUC